UACGAAGGGAGCUAGCGUUGUUCGGAAUCACUGGGCGUAAAGCGCACGUAGGCGGAUGUGUCAGUCAGGGGUGAAAUCCCGGAGCUCAACUUCGGAACUGCCUUUGAUACAGCACGUCUUGAGUCCGAUAGAGGUGGGUGGAAUUCCUAGUGUAGAGGUGAAAUUCGUAGAUAUUAGGAAGAACACCGGUGGCGAAGGCGACUCGCUGGACAAGUAUUGACGCUGAGGUGCGAGAGCGUGGGGAGCAAACAGG
rnacentral:rRNA from 1 species